CCUGGCGUUGUAAUCCUUGUACGUGUUUAUCUUGGGAGAUGUGUUGUACAAUAGUAUAUCUUUUUCAAAAAACACUUAUUUCAAAUAUUUUGCAAAAAAAAAAAACACUAUCUCGCCGUCCGCAGAAAAUAUUUUUCUACCGAAUUCGUUGACAUAUUUCGUUAAUCGAAUUGAUUUUGGCGUUUUUGCUUUUGCUUUGGCGUAUAGAACCAAAUCACACGCGAUACAGAAACAAAACGAAUACUGCCGAGUUUAUAACUACGAACGUCCUAACCAUGAUAGGAAUAAUUAUUUCUAUCA